UUGACUCUUUUUUUUUUUUUUUUUAGCUUUACACCAUGUUCUAAUGUUAUUCCCUCGUCUAAAACAUACCUGGAGGUUGUCUUGUCUCACCAAGCUUUGGAUUGUUCACCUACUAAUAGGGAACGUGAGCUGGGUUUAGACUGUUGUGAGACAAGUU
rnacentral:ncRNA from 1 species